rnacentral:misc_RNA from 1 species
GAUGAAGAACGCAGCGAAAUGCGAUAAGUAAUGUGAAUUGCAGAAUUCAGUGAAUCACCGAAUCUUUGAACGCACAUUGCGCCCUCUGGUAUUCCGGGGGGCAUGCCUGUUCGAGCGUCAUUACAACCCUCAAGCUUUGCUUGGUAUUGGACAUUGCCAGUUUCUGGCAGGUCUUAAAAUCAGUGGCGGUGCCAUUUGGCUUCAAGCGUAGUAAUUCUUCUCGCUUUGGAGAUCCAAGUGGUUACUUGCCAAUAACCCCCAAUUUUUUCAGGUUGACCUCGGAUCAGGUAGGGAUACCCGCUGAACUUAAGCAUAUCAAUAAGCGGAGGA